rnacentral:snoRNA from 1 species
CCAAGUUCGUUUGACUUUUAUUUUUGUGUAAUAUGUAAUGGUUGUAUUAAAAAUAAAUAAUACGGGCUCUGUCCAGUUGGCGUAGGGGAGCAUAGGGCUCUGCCCCGUGAUGUACAGUCCCUUUCCACAACGUUGGAGAGAAAGCCGGGCCUUGAGUCUGUACCUACAUAUUCCUACAACUUCUCAGAGUCCUGUGGACGAUGACUGAGGAGAUAAACCAUGCAGGAAACAUCU